rnacentral:rRNA from 1 species
AUUGAACGCUGGCGGCAGGCCUAACACAUGCAAGUCGAGCGAGCGGCGGACGGGUGAGUAAUGUCUGGGAAACUGCCUGAUGGAGGGGGAUAACUACGGGAAACGGUAGAUAAUACCGCAUACCAUCAGAUGUGCCCAGAUUGGAUUAGCUAGUAGGUGGGGUAAUGGCUCACCUAGGGGACGAUCCCUAGCUGGUCUGAGAGGAUGACCAGCAACACUGGAACGGCGACACGGUCCAGACUCCUACGUGAGGCAGGAGUGGGGAAUAUUGGACAAUGGGCGCAAGCCUGAUGCAGCCAUGCCGCGUGUGUGAAGAAGGCCUUCGGGUUGUAAAGCACGUUCAGCGGGGAGGCGUUACCCGCAGAAGAAGCACCGGCUAACUCCGUGCCAGCAGCCGCGGUAAUAC